GCUAAACUUAAUUCUGCUCGUGCCGAGAUUUUUUCUAUUCACAAGAAUGGAAUACCCGACCUUGCUUAAGAAAUACAAAGUCUUUUAUUACUCGUACCAAUCCCAUUGGGAAUAAUUUUAAUAAUACUGCUUGAAUAAAUUAUAAAUUUUAUCAUGAGAACAAUAAUAACUAAGUUUUGAUUUCAAACUAUUAGAGUCAAAUAUAUGAGUUAUUCUAUUU
rnacentral:misc_RNA from 1 species